rnacentral:lncRNA from 1 species
GGUCGACGAUCUUCAUUGUUGAGAGAUAUGGUAGAGUGAAUUCUUGCUGGUUGCUCGCAGCUGCACAUGCAUCUGGCCUCUAUGGGAAAUCCACUUGAAGCCCUGAUCUGAUCAGUCUUCUCGGGAGUGCUAGCUCGCGUAAAGACCUUCUUCUUGGCUGAUUUGGAUCUUUUUCUUCAAAUCUCUUGAAUCUUUUUAGAGAUUGAAGAUGAAUUUUUAGAGGAGA